UGCUGGAGGUAUCAGAAGUGCGAAUGCUGACAUAAGUAACGAUAAAGCGGGUGAAAAGCCCGCUCGCCGGAAGACCAAGGGUUCCUGUCCAACGUUAAUCGGGGCAGGGUGAGUCGACCCCUAAGGCGAGGCCGAAAGGCGUAGUCGAUGGGAAACGGGUUAAUAUUCCCGUACUUGGUGUUACUGCGAAGGGGGGACGGAGAAGGCUAUGUUGGCCGGGCGACGGUUGUCCCGGUUUAAGCGUGUAGGUGUGUGUUCCAGGUAAAUCCGGUUCACUUUAACACUGAGGCGUGACGACGAGGCACUACGGUGCUGAAGCAACAAAUGCCCUGCUUCCAGGAAAAGCCUCUAAGCAUCAGGUAACAUCAAAUCGUACCCCAAACCGACACAGGUGGUCAGGUAGAGAAUACCAAGGCGCUUGAGAGAACUCGGGUGAAGGAACUAGGCAAAAUGGUGCCGUAACUUCGGGAGAAGGCACGCUGACACGUAGGUGAAGUGAUUUACUCACGGAGCUGAAGUCAGUCGAAGAUACCAGCUGGCUGCAACUGUUUAUUAAAAACACAGCACUGUGCAAACACGAAAGUGGACGUAUACGGUGUGACGCCUGCCCGGUGCCGGAAGGUUAAUUGAUGGGGUCAGCGCAAGCGAAGCUCCUGAUCGAAGCCCCGGUAAACGGCGGCCGUAACUAUAACGGUCCUAAGGUAGCGAAAUUCCUUGUCGGGUAAGUUCCGACCUGCACGAAUGGCGUAAUGAUGGCCAGGCUGUCUCCACCCGAGACUCAGUGAAAUUGAACUCGCUGUGAAGAUGCAGUGUACCCGCGGCAAGACGGAAAGACCCCGUGAACCUUUACUAUAGCUUGACACUGAACAUUGAGCCUUGAUGUGUAGGAUAGGUGGGAGGCUUUGAAGUGUGGACGCCAGUCUGCAUGGAGCCGACCUUGAAAUACCACCCUUUAAUGUUUGAUGUUCUAACGUGGACCCGUAAUCCGGGUUGCGGACAGUGUCUGGUGGGUAGUUUGACUGGGGCGGUCUCCUCCUAAAGAGUAACGGAGGAGCACGAAGGUUGGCUAAUCCUGGUCGGACAUCAGGAGGUUAGUGCAAUGGCAUAAGCCAGCUUGACUGCGAGCGUGACGGCGCGAGCAGGUGCGAAAGCAGGUCAUAGUGAUCCGGUGGUUCUGAAUGGAAGGGCCAUCGCUCAACGGAUAAAAGGUACUCCGGGGAUAACAGGCUGAUACCGCCCAAGAGUUCAUAUCGACGGCGGUGUUUGGCACCUCGAUGUCGGCUCAUCACAUCCUGGGGCUGAAGUAGGUCCCAAGGGUAUGGCUGUUCGCCAUUUAAAGUGGUACGCGAGCUGGGUUUAGAACGUCGUGAGACAGUUCGGUCCCUAUCUGCCGUGGGCGCUGGAGAACUGAGGGGGGCUGCUCCUAGUACGAGAGGACCGGAGUGGACGCAUCACUGGUGUUCGGGUUGUCAUGCCAAUGGCACUGCCCGGUAGCUAAAUGCGGAAGAGAUAAGUGCUGAAAGCAUCUAAGCACGAAACUUGCCCCGAGAUGAGUUCUCCCUGAGACUU
rnacentral:rRNA from 1 species